rnacentral:rRNA from 1 species
ACUCCUACGGGAGGCAGCAGUAAGGAAUAUUGCGCAAUGGGCGAAAGCCUGACGCAGCGACGCCGCGUGGGGGAUGAAGGUCUUCGGAUUGUAAACCCCUUUCGGGAGGGAAGAUGGAGCGAGCAAUCGUUCGGACGGUACCUCCAGAAGCAGCCACGGCCAACUUCGUGCCAGCAGCCGCGGUAAU